GCUUCUCUCACAGGAGUUUAGAGGAUAAACACAGAAAUCUGAGGGGGAGAUGUGGAGUGACCGGUACAGGUAGUUUAAGGUCAACUGAGCUGCGAUUUGGUAACUAGAAACCAAGUGAUUUUACACACUAACAAUCCUUUAUCACACUAAAGUUUGUGAAAUCUGUUCUUCUCCUCUUGUCCCUGUUUUCAGGCUUAACCAUCUCUUUUCUUCUUGCAGUUACUACACGUUUCCUACAUCUACCACCAGCAUUUCUCAGCCGUCCACUGCUGCUUCUCAUUCUCAACUGAUCAGGAAUUGUCCCAGAUGCAGUCAUGAGGAAUCCAUCUUCACAAACUCCAAGUGACAAAAAAAUUGACCAGAGACUCCACAUCUGUCAAGAGCUGAGUAUGUUUAACAGGUAGGAUUCAGAUGUUCAUUCUCUCUCCCAAACAUACUCUACAUGCUCACUGGUUAUUUUUACGGUACUCCUGACUUACAGACUGGAGUCCAUCUGUUUCUUUGUAUACACUGAUGCCCCCCUUCUCUUUUUACAGGGCCACCACAGAGCAGGUAUUAUUCAUGAAACAUUCUCAGCACU